GGUAAGAUGGCUGAGGUUUAAGCGGCGGAUUGUAGCUCCGUAAAGAGAGGUUCAAGUCCUCUUCUUAUCAAACCA
rnacentral:tRNA from 1 species